UGGGGGGCUCUCGUUUGUCCAUCGUCACUGGAUCCUUCUUCUACAGAAUUCUCCUAUCAAUUCAUUGUAGUACGCCGUGAGUAGCUUCUAAUAAAACCCUCCAUAUCGGGUACACCCUCUCACAUUCAGCCUAAACGAUUAACACCCUGCAUUUGUGAUUGUCUUUGUAACGGAUUCCCUGAGUAAAUAGCAUACUAAAUGUCGUUGAUAGCAUACUAAAUGUCUUUAGAAUAAUGAAUAAUUGAUUAAUUAAGAUUGUUCUAUUCAAGUAGACUGGCUUUGACAACUUCUUUAUUGGAGUGCUGCACUGUGUAGCGAGGAUCUCUUUUCGGGCUGAGCUCAUUCUUUUGAUGGAGCGUUAGUUCUUAGUCUCUUUCGGCUCGAGGUGGUCAACUUGAGAAUUUAGAGAAUGAAUCAGUGGAUUGUCAUCUGUACGUCUGUGCAACUGAAAGCUGGAGUUUGACAAUCUGAAGAGGUUCCAAUAAUUUUGAGGCUCAAGCAACGCAAUCCCCUGCAAUCUCUUGAAGAAGUAACUCUCAGUCCAAGCCCAGGAGCGUUCAAUUCCGGGAGCUACAGCAUCCUCCAACUCUAACCCACAACAAGCACCAGAGAUUGUCGAGGCAGAAUGUUCAAGGAGAAUGUGACGCCACUACGAGGGCUCACAGAGCUAGAACAGCAUGUUCGAGGGAGCUAGGUUUGCCUCAGUCCCCCAACCUGCUCCCCGUUUGGGUUCUUGGCUUGUGCCUCGAUCCUAGUCACUGGGGUGAUUGGUUAAAUAUUUACGGAGGCCUCCGCUAAAAGAAUGCCCCUUGUUUUGGGAAAUUUCCAACUCCAUCAUGUAUUUAAUCGCUAGAUUAUCGCUUGCGACGUUUGAUAGAGAGGACUCAAGGAGAGGUGUCUCAAGUCUUUGCAUGAAUCCCCUGUGACUGCUGCAAGUGAUUCCUACCCACGAGCAUGGAGAGGACGCCGAGGUUCCAGCCGGGGAGCAUCUCCUAUUCCAUUCCGACUCGGCUGCCCCGCCAGAGGUCAGUGGACGGGAGAUGGCGCCGGGCGCCGGGAAUGGGGACGGGCAUGUCGGGGUUGGAGACUAGGGGCUGGAACGGGGACGGAGGCUGGGAACAAGGGGAACAGAAGAAAUUGGGUUGAUUUAGUAAAAAUUUGGAUCGCUUUAUCAUUCCCUUAUUUAUUUAUUUAUUUAUUUAUUUAUAUAUAUAUAAUUAAAAAAAUAAAAUAUAUUUUAUAUGAGCCUAGGAUGCUAGAUCAAAUAUGUAAAAUUUAGACAAAAAAUUAAAUUAAAUUUUGAAGUUUUAAAAAAAUACAAUUUUUUAAUGAUAGAAUUAAAUUAAUAGGUCUUCAACUUAUUAAUUUGACCUAGAAUAAUUAU